UCGAGAAUCUUCGGCAAUGGGGGAAACCCUGACCGAGCGACGCCGCGUGCGAGAUGAAGGCCUUCGGGUUGUAAAUCGCUGUCAGAGGGGAGGAAAUGCCGGUGGGUUCUCCCAUCGGUUUGACCUAUCCUCAGAGGAAGGACGGGCUAAGUUCGUGCCAGCAGCCGCGGUAAGACGAACCGUCCAAACGUUAUUCGGAAUCACUGGGCUUAAAGGGUGCGUAGGCGGCCCGGCAAGUUGGGUGUGAAAGCCCUCGGCUCAACCGAGGAAUUGCGCCCAAAACUGUCGGGCUUGAGGGAGACAUAGGUGAGCGGAACCUAGGGUGGAGCGGUGAAAUGCGUUGAGAUCCUAGGGAACACCAGUAGCGAAAGCGGCUCACUGGGUCUCUUCUGACGCUGAGUGCACGAAAGCCAGGGGAGCGAAGAG
rnacentral:rRNA from 1 species